rnacentral:rRNA from 1 species
GGCGAACGCUGGCGGCGUGCCUAAUACAUGCAAGUCGAGCGGACGAAUCGAAAGCUUGCUUUUGAUUCGUUAGCGGCGGACGGGUGAGUAACACGUGGGCAACCUGCCCUGUAGACGGGGAUAACACCGAGAAAUCGGUGCUAAUACCGGAUAACACGAAAUGUCGCAUGACGUUUCGUUGAAAGACGGCGCAAGCUGUCGCUACAGGAUGGGCCCGCGGCGCAUUAGCUAGUUGGUGAGGUAACGGCUCACCAAGGCGACGAUGCGUAGCCGACCUGAGAGGGUGAUCGGCCACACUGGGACUGAGACACGGCCCAGACUCCUACGGGAGGCAGCAGUAGGGAAUCUUCCGCAAUGGACGAAAGUCUGACGGAGCAACGCCGCGUGAGCGAAGAGGGCCUUCGGGUCGUAAAGCUCUGUUGUUAGGGAAGAACAAGUAACGCAGUAACUGGCGUUACCGUGACGGUACCUAACGAGAAAGCCACGGCUAACUACGUG